CACGUAGGGGGCAAGCGUUGUCCGGAAUCAUUGGGCGUAAAGAGCUCGUAGGCGGCUCAGUAAGUCGGGUGUGAAACCUCCAGGCUCAACCUGGAGACGCCACCCGAUACUGCUGUGGCUAGAGUCCAGUAGGGGAGUGUGGAAUUCCCGGUGUAGCGGUGAAAUGCGCAGAUAUCGGGAGGAACACCAGCGGCGAAGGCGAGUCCCUGGACAAUACCUGACACUGAGGCACGAAAGCUAGGGGAGCAAACAGG
rnacentral:rRNA from 1 species